rnacentral:lncRNA from 1 species
CCUCUCUCUCUCUCCCUCUCUCCAUGUUCAGCCUAUAUGUACUCUUCAUGGAGCUCCACCUCCCAACCCAGACUGACUCACAUGUAGCAACACAACAUUUCACCAAGACUGUGACAAUCUAUUUCUACCCAGUACUGUGUCACUCCACAGGCUACUAGUGGACUGUCUGUCUGGCAACUGUCUACUACCCUUUGCCUGGCUGCUGAGGGGCUACUGUAAGCCCUGUGGACUGUGGGACAAGCCGUGUUGGACCGUUGGAUAUUGGUAUCUUUCUUUAGUGCAUAACUGUAUGGAUUAACUGCUGUUCUGUACCAUGGCGUUCCUGACACUCCGGGAGGAUUUCAACCAUGGUAAGAGAGAUAGAAGGCUGUAAUAUCAAGUUACAGACUAAGUUGAACAAGGCAGAAGAACAGUAUAAGUGCAGAGGGACUCUGGUUGAAGUGUUCUAUGGACAUGUAGGAGAGUCUAAGGGACAUGAGAGGUUUAUUGGCUGGACAUGUAGGAGAGUCUAAGGGACAUGAGAGGUUUAUUGGCUGGACAUGUAGGAGAGUCUAAGGGACAUGAGAGGUUUGUUGGCUGGACAUGUAGGAGAGUCUAAGGGACAUGAGAGGUUUAUUGGCUGGACAUGUAGGAGAGUCUAAGGGACAUGAGAGGUUUAUUGGCUGGACAUGUAGGAGAGUCUAAGGGACAUGAGAGGUUUAUUGGCUGGACAUGUAGGAGAGUCUAAGGGACAUGAGAGGUUUAUUGGCUGGACAUGUAGGAGAGUCUAAGGGACAUGAGAGGUUUAUUGGCUGGGCAAGUUCCUGUGCCUGUCUGUUUCAGCCGAAUAGCAAUUUAGUUUUUGACGAUUGUAGAUGAACAACGAGCGCUAGAGAUCUCUGUAUGUCUCUCUUUUUCUCUCUCUGUGGUGAGAUAUGGUGAGCUGGAAGCAUGAGUGAAGGCUGAGGCAGGCAAAAAGACAGACAGGCAGAAAAGCAGGCAGGCAGAAAGACAGGCAUGCAGGCAGGCUUGUGAUGAGCUUCCUUUGAUUAUUCCCGCUGUCAUCAUCACAGCAGCAGAGUGACAGACGGGUGUAAACAGAAUUUUCACAUCUCCUUGGAGACACGGUAGUCAGAACCACUCUUCACACUCUGAGGACAGAGAACAUUCUGUGCAGAUGAAAUAACACUGGAAUUAAGUCCCAAAUAGACGCCUAUGCCCUAGGGUGCUAUUUGUAAGGCAUCCUGGGACUCAGACAGGGAUGUCUUAGCCCGUAAGGCACAGCACAUCGAUACAAAGUGGUUCUGUAGUAACAGUGUAGACACAGGUGUGUUGUCCCUAUGUGCAUUAGGAUAGAGUUUCAAUUUGAUAUCAAAGUCACGGCAGCGUUGUUUUGUCAAAUCCAGCUCCCACUAUCUAUGGUGCUACUUCAUACUGACCAUCUGCGUAGUAAUACGGCUUCAGUUUCAACAUAUCAACAUUAGUUACAUAAGCAAGUGUGAUUGAUAUCCUACUACUUCAGCUCCCCUCAGCAGGUUGACACAAUCACGAACAAUAUGAAUGUUCUUUGAGAGGGAGUCUAAGGACCUCAACAAAUGAUACUGUAGACUAACCUUGAGAAGAGAGGAGGAGGAGGAGAGGAGGAGGAGAGGGGG